rnacentral:rRNA from 1 species
UUGAUCCUGGCUCAGGACGAACGCUGGCGGCACGCUUAACACAUGCAAGUCGAACGAGAGAAGAGAAGCUUGCUUUUCUGAUCUAGUGGCGGACGGGUGAGUAACACGUGAGCAAUCUGCCUUUCAGAGGGGGAUACCGAUUGGAAACGAUCGUUAAUACCGCAUAACAUAAUUGAACCGCAUGAUUUGAUUAUCAAAGAUUUAUCGCUGAAAGAUGAGCUCGCGUCUGAUUAGCUAGUUGGUAAGGUAACGGCUUACCAAGGCGACGAUCAGUAGCCGGACUGAGAGGUUGAUCGGCCACAUUGGGACUGAGACACGGCCCAGACUCCUACGGGAGGCAGCAGUGGGGAAUAUUGCACAAUGGAGGAAACUCUGAUGCAGCGAUGCCGCGUGAGGGAAGAAGGUUUUAGGAUUGUAAACCUCUGUCUUCAGGGACGAAAAAAGACGGUACCUGAGGAGGAAGCUCCGGCUAACUACGUGCCAGCAGCCGCGGUAAUACGUAGGGAGCGAGCGUUGUCCGGAAUUACUGGGUGUAAAGGGAGCGUAGGCGGGAUCGCAAGUCAGAUGUGAAAACUAUGGGCUUAACCCAUAAACUGCAUUUGAAACUGUGGUUCUUGAGUGAAGUAGAGGUAAGCGGAAUUCCUAGUGUAGCGGUGAAAUGCGUAGAUAUUAGGAGGAACAUCAGUGGCGAAGGCGGCUUACUGGGCUUUAACUGACGCUGAGGCUCGAAAGCGUGGGGAGCAAACAGGAUUAGAUACCCUGGUAGUCCACACCGUAAACGAUGAUUACUAGGUGUGGGGGGACUGACCCCUUCCGUGCCGCAGCAAACGCAAUAAGUAAUCCACCUGGGGAGUACGACCGCAAGGUUGAAACUCAAAGGAAUUGACGGGGGCCCGCACAAGCAGUGGAGUAUGUGGAUUAAUUCGAAGCAACGCGAAGAACCUUACCAGGUCUUGACAUCGUAUGCAUAGCUCAGAGAUGAGUGAAAUCUCUUCGGAGACAUAUAGACAGGUGGUGCAUGGUUGUCGUCAGCUCGUGUCGUGAGAUGUUGGGUUAAGUCCCGCAACGAGCGCAACCCUUACUGUUAGUUGCUACGCAAGAGCACUCUAGCAGGACUGCCGUUGACAAAACGGAGGAAGGUGGGGAUGACGUCAAAUCAUCAUGCCCUUUAUGACCUGGGCCUCACACGUACUACAAUGGCUGUCAACAGAGGGAAGCAAAGCCGCGAGGUGGAGCAAACCCCUAAAAGCAGUCUUAGUUCGGAUUGUAGGCUGCAACCCGCCUACAUGAAGUCGGAAUUGCUAGUAAUCGCAGAUCAGCAUGCUGCGGUGAAUACGUUCCCGG